CAGUNAAAAAGUCGUAACAAGGUUUCCGUAGGUGAACCUGCGGAAGGAUCAUUA
rnacentral:rRNA from 1 species